UCAAACUUGGUCAUUUAGAGGAAGUAAAAGUCGUAACAAGGUUUCCGUAGGUGAACCUGCGGAAGGAUCAUUAUCGUAGGGCUUCUGCCCUGUCGAGAUAGCGUCCUUGCCUAUUUUUUGGAGUACCUUUUCGUUUCCUCAGCAGGCUUGCCUGCUACUGGGGACCUCUUAAACUCUUUGUAAAUACAGCAUCUGUCUGAACAAACAAACAAAAAAUCAAAACUUUCAACAAUGGAUCUCUUGGUUCUGGCAUCGAUGAAGAACGCAGC
rnacentral:misc_RNA from 1 species